rnacentral:rRNA from 1 species
AUUGGACGCUGGCGGCAUGCUUUACACAUGCAAGUCGAACGGUAACAGGGUGCUUGCACCGCUGACGAGUGGCGAACGGGUGAGUAAUGCGUCGGAACGUGCCGAGUAGUGGGGGAUAACGCAGCGAAAGUUGUGCUAAUACCGCAUACGUACUGAGGUAGAAAGUGGGGGACCUUCGGGCCUCACGCUAUUCGAGCGGCCGACGUCUGAUUAGCUAGUAGGUGAGGUAAAGGCUCACCUAGGCGACGAUCAGUAGCGGGUCUGAGAGGAUGCUCCGCCACACUGGGACUGAGAAACGGCGCAGAGUCCUACGGGAGGCAGCAGUGGGGAAGUUUGGACAAUGGGCGAAAGCCUGAUUCAGCCAUGCCGCGUGUCUGAAGAAGGCCUUCGGGUUGUAAAGGACUUUUGUCAGGGAGGAAAUCCCUAGUGCUAAUAACACUGGGGGAUGACAGUACCUGAAGAAUAAGCACCGGCUAACUACGUGCCAGCAGCCGCAGUAA